UAUAAGUUGUUAUUUUUAUAUAAAUUGAUGUCUCAUAAUUUUUUAUUCACUAUUUUGAACAAAAACUGGCCAAUUGGUACACGAAAGUACUCGCAUUCUCUACCGCGUGCCUCUCAUUCUCCCUCUCGUUUCCUCGUAUAUCUUGCUUUCUCUCGAACAGAACAUACUAACCAUAUAAAAGACGUUCGUUUCUUCGAGGACGCUGCACCGCACUAUGUCAGACCGAACGCGCGAGGUUGCGUAGCAUUUUUGAGGUUGGGGGAAGUUCAGGUAGAUAAUAGAAAGAUACCGUUUUAGAGUUUUAUGGAUUUAUAGUCUUAAAAUUCCAAACUGUCAAGAUGUCGUAAAGUCGUAAAGUGACAGAGAAACUACUGUCUCGUUUCGGAAGCAAGAAUGUAACUACAUUUAUGUUCGUGGAAAUACUCCUUUCUCUUUUAACAAGGCCCAUAAUUGGUGAAAAUUUGUGUUAUCGCUUCUAUUGCGAUAGAUUUAGUGAAAUUUAAAUGCAAUUUUUUGUCGCUAAGAAUCAAUGAAUUAUCCUUUAAGGUUAUGUAACACUAUUUUAUUAAUCCUUUUAAUCUAAUCUUAAAAAAAACUUAAUUCUUUUAAUUUUUUGUUUUAGUUCGCACACACAUAUAAAAAAAAUUCCUUUCUAAUAAAAAUCACAGAAUUGCACAGAAUUUUUUUAAAUUUUCUUAAACAAGGAAAGCCAAAUAUUAUCAUGGUUCGAAGAUAUAGCGACUGUAUUCUGACCAUAGAAGAAACUACUUCUCUCUAUAAAUCAUCAUUUUCAAAACCAAUGACCUAGUUAUUCUUGUAGAAGGUAUAAAUGCAUUGCAAUUUUGUUUUAAUUCAUUCUUGUUUUCUAUUUUAGUUGUUGCAGAAAAGAAAAAAAGCAGUAGCCUUUUAAUUUUUUAGCAGUCACUAAAACUCUUUUUAAUUGUUCUGAAAAAAUAAAUAGCCUUAGAAACCGAAAGCGGUCAGGAUAUUCAUACGUGACCGUGCUUUUUCCUUGAACGCUCCGAGCUAUAUGACCUGGAAACUUUAACGAAACCUUUAGAAUUUCCGGGGAGGCAAUUUCACCGAUGGUAUAUCUCGCGUGCUACUGUAUGCAACUGUGCCACCGACACGCGGAGUACGUCGCGGAACAAUGGCAACGCUUAAUGCCGUCUGACUGGUUGUAAUUUGCAUUUCUCUAGUUGGCAUCUCUCUGCCUCUGCGAAUAGGCCCUGCCGAAAUCGCAUCGAUGCAUCGAAGUCCGCUUAAUGUUUCCGUAAUGCUCCGCUGUGCAUUCCUUUGAACCGAUUUCCAACCAAAUUUGCCUAUAUUCGAACUAGAAAUUGCAUGAAUACUGAAACUUAUGUUCUGAAAGCUGGCUAAUCUGAUAUAAAUUAGUUAAACAUGCCAAUCAGAAGCACUCUAACUGAACCUGUGGCGCUUGAUGUCAUUCUUCCGCCGAAAAUCAUUGUGACAGGACGUGUUACCGGCUUGAGCAGCAUCAUUUCAACUACGCAGAAAUUGAUGGUCGCGUUUGUAUCACGCUCGACACAUUACGAUUUGUUAUGAUUGUCGAACUAUCGACUUCCCCUUCCGAAUUUAUAUUCGAUAAUCGAAAUCGCGGCGUCGAAUGUCAUUGUACUCUCGAUAAUCGUGGCGUUCGGACGUGCCAAUUUUUUCUUGAGGUACUAAUGAUCUUUGAAAAUUUCUUUUGAGUUUUAGCUAAAAAAUGUAUUUGUGACCGUGCGCAAUGCGGUUAAUAGAGUCAGUGUUUGCUUCGUAAUAGUAUUUUUAAUGUUCUUUAGAAUACAAGUGUUAAUUUAAUUUAAUAAAAUAGAUACUCGCGAAAUUAGAAUCAGUGUUUGUUCGCCGAUAACUAAAUGUUAAUAUUCUUUUAUUUAUUUUUUUAUUUCUUAAAUAUUCGUUUCGCGUAUUAGAGUCAGUGUAUUAAGAGAAUAAAGUGAUCACCAUUAUCAUCAUCAUUAUAUCAAAAAGUUCUAUUUUCUCUUAUUUGAUGACAAUUUCAAGAUAAUUUCUUAUGGGUCAUGACAAUAGCGAUGACAACGCAGAUUUUUUGCAUCUAUUGGUGAGUCGCAUGCAUUUUAUUUCCUCUGGUCAUUCAAUCAUGUCGUAGGAUGAAAGAUCCGAAUCGACACGAGUGGCUAGUUGUAUUACGUAGAAUUUUGCACGAGCACAGUGACCAUGGAUAUUUAUUAUAUCCAUGAAUAAUAACAUUUUUUUUGUGUUUAUUUAUUAAUAUAGGAUAGGAUCUUCUUGCACAUCGCGUUAUAACAUAAUUAAAUGAUUUUUAUAAUUAAUUUAUUAUUAAGAACAAUACAUAUAUUCAUAUUCAUAUGUG
rnacentral:lncRNA from 1 species